rnacentral:rRNA from 1 species
UACGGGGGGAGCAAGCGUUGUUCGGAUUUACUGGGCGUAAAGGGCGCGUAGGCGGUCAGCACAAGUCAGUUGUGAAAUCUCCGGGCUUAACUCGGAAAGGUCAACUGAUACUGUGCGACUAGAGUGCGGUAGGGGAGACUGGAAUUCCUGGUGUAGCGGUGAAAUGCGCAGAUAUCGUAAGGAAGACCAGUGGCGAAGGCGGGUCUCGUGGACAGUUCCUGACGCUGAGGCACGAAGGCCAGGGGAGCAAACGGG